rnacentral:rRNA from 1 species
GACGAACGCUGGCGGCGUGCUUAACACAUGCAAGUCGAACGAUGAAGCCGGAGCUUGCUCCGGUGGAUUAGUGGCGAACGGGUGAGUAACACGUGAGCAAUCUGCCCUUGACUCUGGGAUAACUGCGGGAAACUGUAGCUAAUACCGGAUACGACACCUUGGGGCAUCCUAGGGUGUGGAAAGAAUUUCGGUCAAGGAUGAGCUCGCGGCCUAUCAGCUAGUUGGUGAGGUAAUGGCUCACCAAGGCGACGACGGGUAGCCGGCCUGAGAGGGGGACCGGCCACGCUGGACCUGAGACACGGUGCAGACUCCGACGGGAGGCAGCAGUGGGGAAUAUUGCACAAGGGGCGAAAGCCUGAUGCAGCCACGCCGCGUGAGGGAUGAAGGCCUUCGUGUUGUAAACCUCUUUUAGCAGGGAAGAAGCGAAAGUGACGGUACCUGCAGAAAAAGCACCGGCUAACUACGUGCCAGCCGCCGCGGUAA